GACGAACGCUGGCGGCUUGCCUAAUACAUGCAAGUAGGACGCAGUUGCGAACGUGUGAGUAACGCGUAGGUAACUACCUAUUAGAGGGGGAUAACUAUUGGAUACGAUAGCUAAUACCGCAUACUAGUAGAUUGACCUUCGUUGUAUUAGCUAGUAGGUAGGGUAAUUGCCUACCGAGGCAACGGUUCAUAGCCGACCUGAGAGGGUGAUCGGCCACACUGGGGCUGAGACACGGCCCAGACACCCACGGGAGGCAGCAGUAGGGAAACUUCGGCAAUGGGGGGAAGCCUGACCGAGCAACGCCGCGGGAGUGAAGAAGGUUUUCGGAUCGUAAAGCUCUGUUGUUAAGGAAGCGGUACUUAACCAGAAAGAGACGGCUAACUACGUGCCAGCAGCCGCGGUAAUUC
rnacentral:rRNA from 1 species